GAAAUCUUUAAAUUCACUGUUUAAGUGCUUUAAAUAUUUAAAUACGUUAAAAAAAAUUGUAAUUUCUUUGGCUCAUCUUAAACUUUUCUAUUUUUUCCAUUUAAUGGUGGGUUGGUACUCAUAAGCGUUAAUUCAUUUGUUUUAGUUUUUAUCGGUUGCUCCUUUUUUGCCAAACAAAUUAUUUGACUUGUGCUGAAAAUAGUUCUUGUCUAAUUUUAAAUUUAGCUAGCAUCAUAAAUAGAUUAUUAAUACAUUAUAUAAAUGUUGCAAAAACAAAUUAUACAUAUUGAACAUUGAUACCCUGAUCAGACUAUCUUUGAUCUAACAUAUGAAUCUUUGUAUAUAUUUUGUGCUCGUUUUGGCUGUUUUCGCUGGUACAGCUUACACAUGGAAUGAUGUAGAAAUUCGUAAUCAAAUCGGUCCUAAUAUUGUUCUCCAUAUGAAGUGUCAUAUGACGAACCCAACAAAUGAUCUAGGAAGCAAGGAUUUACAAUUUAAUACCUCUCAUACCUUUGAGUUUAGGGAUGUAGAUACAAUAAAUUGGAAAAAAGAAGAAACACAGUGUCUUUUAAGAUAUGGUAGAUAUUACCAUGAUGUUCAAGUAUAUCGAGAAUCAUUUUUGACGAGAAGUGGCAUACUACGUUCAUGGGAGGCCAGAAGAGAUGGAAUUUACUUUAAAACGCGUCACGAUAGACCAUGGGAAUUUAAAUUUCAUUGGAUUGUUGGUAAGUAAUUUUUACUAGGUGGGUUUACGUGCCAUCACAAGAUUAUAAUAAUAUCAUUAUGUAUUUUAUGUAAGCUAUGUGCAGAUCUAUAUCAAAAUUUGUUUUAUUUUUUAUGUAAUUUCAAACUUACCAAAAUUUAACUGAUAUCUUUAUAUAAUUGUAUAUUUUAAUUAACUACCAUUAUAUAUCUUAUGUAUUUACAUUGUCUUUAAACGGUUAUAAGAAUAUAAUACUUUUAAAUAUUUAGUCGCUUGUUCAACACAUGAAUUUCUUGUACUUUUAAAUGUGUACAUAAUAUACAAUAUUCAGAUUUCAAAUAACACAAUAAAUAUGUGUUAAAUUUAAUUAUAUAUUAAUAGAAUUUAUUAGAUAAUCGAUACAAUGGAAUAAUUAUUAUUUGUUACAAAUGUUGGUUAGUAUUUAAUUAUUGAGAUAUGAGUACCGAGAAUUUCGAACACAAUAUCUAGUUUAACAAUGAUAUAAUAAUUAUUAGGGAAAUUUUGAAAAUACAUUCAAAUGAGAUUAUAUUUUGAUAAAUACACCAUUUAUUAUUAUUCAUGAAAACUACACUUAUUUAUAACUGAACUAAAAUAACCUAAUUAGAAAUUUAUAAUAAUUUUAGUCUCAAAUCGAAAUUUAUUUUAAAAAUCAAAUAUUUCCACGUUUUAAAUUUAGUACAAAACUCAUCAAGAGAAACCUAGGGUUUUCUUUUUCUUUUUCCUUUGCAUCUAUCUACUCCGAUUGAUUCACAAUGGUCCUAUUUAUCCAUCUUAUUACCACAUCAAAUUUCCAUGGUCGCAAUGUUUAGUAUUAUCAAGGUCCGAUGGUUUGAUUUGGUGUAGCUUUUUUUCUUUUUUUUCUUUUUAGCAUCCGUGUAGCUUUUUUCUUAGGUGGAAGCCAUAUAAACUUAAGUUUUUUGUUCUAUUUAAAAAAAAAUUAAGAAUCUAUAUUUUUACUGAUUUUUUCCACGCAGCUGGUAAAGUGAAUUAAUAAUGUGGAACCAGAGCAUAUCCUUAACCAUACGUAGGAGAUUCUAAAAGUGUAUCCAUAUAAUUUGGAGAGUCAAAAUACUCAAAACUGAUAGAGCUAUGAUUAAACAAUAUUCCUAUUCCGGACAUGAAAAAAAAAAAAAAGAUGAGUUAAUUCUACAUGUGGCAGCCUGGACUUAACCAUCUGUCUCUCCUGCUAUGUCAUUAACAUUUGAGUUAGAAGGCCUCUUUUUCAACCCUCUGUUUUGCAUGAUUCUUAGUCUUUGACGACUCAAUCGUAACCUUCUGUUCCACAUGAAUAUUAUGUAGCGAGAUUAUAAGUUGUGUGUCAUAGUCCGAGGUCAUUUUAGCUGACAUGGAAGCGGAUAUCACAGGUAUAUCUACUUUUUGUGCAUCUGAUAAAUUAGAAGCUCCAAACAAACGAACAGAAUAAGUAUCAAUGAAACUAAUCCCCCACUACCUUUUGCAGUUCCUUGAUGACAGAGAUACAAUCCCCCACUGACCAUGCAACUUUCAUAAUGUAAGUUGUUCACUCUUAUAUAAGCUAUUAAUCAAGAUUGAUCUCUGAGUAUUUGCAGUUCUUGUUAUGAGGAUUGUCACACUUUUUUGCGUUUAAUCUCUGUUUUGUAAUUUUCAGAGUCUGAUAUUCAGAGAAGUCUGAUAAUCUUUUUAUCAAAAAGAUCAGUGUGAUGUCAUUUUAUUUGAUAUGUAAAUGCAGAACCAUUUGUAAAUAAUAACUGAUGUCUUUUGGAUGAAUACAAGAAUAGAAGUAUAUUAUUAUCAAUUCAUGAUUAACACACAAAUUAGGCGGUUUAGCACAAAAUUAGGCAUUUAGGCUUAUUACGGUUCAGGCGCUCUUCAUAGCCUUGAAGGUGACUAAAGCUUGAAAUAAUGAGUGAAAAUUCUACUUUUUUUUUGAAGGUUCAGAGCAGGAUUUACAAAUCGUAGUAGGGUUCAGAUUCAUUGUCUCCCUUUUGAAUGUGCUUCUUUUUGGUUGCUUCAAAACGCUCUAAAAUUAUUUUCCCAUAAAUGUAUAAUCAUUAAAAUCUUUGUCACAUUUCAACGGUGCAUAUGUUCUUGAAUGUUAUCCCUCCAUAGCCCCAAAAAAUAAUGGACAUAGUUAAACCUUAGCCCAAAUUAGAAAUCCAAAAAAGACUGGCAAGUUAGGACACAAUAUAUUGUUGACAACUAAUGUCGUACGUAGCUCAUACAUUAUGAGCGUCGUUAUCUACGCUACACAGUGAUAUCAUGAUCGAAGUGAUAGACGGAUAUAGUCUCUAAGCAUAUUGACAUUGUGAGAAUACAGAAGUUAAAGUUUAUGCUAUAAAUGAAACUAAAUACAAAAGGAGCAUGACUUAUUACUUUUGUGGCACUUUCCCAUGUUUUUAAAAUUAUUACUUUUUUUGUCUCGCAGUUUCUAAAAUCUAAAUUGUUGAUAGUAUAUGAUAUUUAUUGGCUAUUGUUUAUUUUGCUGAUGUUUAUGAACCGUAAUUGUUUCUAAUGCUUUAACUUCCGAUGAGAUUAUUUUAAUUCACAACUACAAUAAGUGUUUAGUUUCAAAUUCAAGUUGCCUAAUGAUAAAUUGGUUAUUAGUAGAGAUUAAUUUUAUAUCCAAAAUUUACACGCAUAAAUAAAAAAAAACAAAAAUCAGAAUUUAAUACAUCAUGGCUAACACAAAAAUUAAAAUUAAAUAAUUUAUUAUUUUCAUUUAAAAUUUAUAUCAAAUUUAAUAAUAUAUAUUUUAAGAAAAUAACAUUAAAAUUGAAAUAUAUUGAUAUAUAUACAUUAAUCCGCACGAGGUGCAGACAAUCAUCUUGUCUGAUAGAAACACAGUCUGUUCCCAAAAAUUAAUGUUCUCCUUCAAUAUUAAUUAUGUUUUCCUAGUUUUGAUAAUGUCUCGUGAAAUCUUUAAAUUCACUGUUUAAGUGCUUUAAAUAUUUAAAUACGUUAAAAAAAAUUGUAAUUUCUUUGGCUCAUCUUAAACUUUUCUAUUUUUUCCAUUUAAUGGUGGGUUGGUACUCAUAAGCGUUAAUUCAUUUGUUUUAGUUUUUAUCGGUUGCUCCUUUUUUGCCAAACAAAUUAUUUGACUUGCGCUGAAAAUAGUUCUUGUCUAAUUUUAAAUUUAGCUAGCAUCAUAAAUAGAUUAUUAAUACAUUAUAUAAAUGUUGCAAAAACAAAUUAUACAUAUUGAACAUUGAUACCCUGAUCAGACUGUCUUUGAUCUAACAUAUGAAUCUUUGUAUAUAUUUUGUGCUCGUUUUGGCUGUUUUCGCUGGUACAGCUUACACAUGGAAUGAUGUAGAAAUUCGUAAUCAAAUCGGUCCUAAUAUUGUUCUCCAUAUGAAGUGUCAUAUGACGAACCCAACAAAUGAUCUAGGAAGCAAGGAUUUACAAUUUAAUACGUCUCAUACCUUUGAGUUUAGGGAUGUAGAUACAAUAAAUUGGAAAAAAGAAGAAACACAGUGUCUUUUAAGAUAUGGUAGAUAUUACCAUGAUGUUCAAGUAUAUCGAGAAUCAUUUUUGACGAGAAGUGGCAUACUACGUUCAUGGGAGGCCAGAAGAGAUGGAAUUUAUUUUAAAACGCGUCACGAUAGACCAUGGGAAUUUAAAUUUCAUUGGAUUGUUGGUAAGUAAUUUUUACUAGGUGGGUUUACGUGCCAUCACAAGAUUAUAAUAAUAUCAUUAUGUAUUUUAUGUAAGCUAUGUGCAGAUCUAUAUCAAAAUUUGUUUUAUUUUUUAUGUAAUUUCAAACUUACCAAAAUUUAACUGAUAUCUUUAUAUAAUUGUAUAUUUUAAUUAACUACCAUUAUAUAUCUUAUGUAUUUACAUUGUCUUUAAACGGUUAUAAGAAUAUAAUACUUUUAAAUAUUUAGUCGCUUGUUCAACACAUGAAUUUCUUGUACUUUUAAAUGUGUACAUAAUAUACAAUAUUCAGAUUUCAAAUAACACAAUAAAUAUGUGUUAAAUUUAAUUAUAUAUUAAUAGAAUUUAUUAGAUAAUCGAUACAAUGGAAUAAUUAUUAUUUGUUACAAAUGUUGGAUAGUAUUUAAUUAUUGAGAUAUGAGUGCCGAGAAUUUCGAACACAAUAUCUAGUUUAACAAUGAUAUAAUAAUUAUUAGGGAAAUUUUGAAAAUACAUUCAAAUGAGAUUAUAUUUUGAUAAAUACACCAUUUAUUAUUAUUUAUGAAAACUACACUUAUUUAUAACUGAACUAAAAUAACCUAAUUAGAAAGUUAUAAUAAUUUUAGUCUCAAAUCGAAAUUUAUUUUAAAAAUCAAAUAUUUCCACGUUUUAAAUUUAGUACAAAACUCUGUCUCAUCCCAAUCAAGAGAAACCUAGGGUUUUCUUUUUCCUUUGCAUCUAUCUACUCCGAUUGAUUCACAAUGGUCCUAUUUAUCCAUCUUAUUACCACAUCAAAUUUCCAUGGUCGCAAUGUUUAGUAUUAUCAAGGUCCGAUGGUUUGAUUUGGUGUAGCUUUUUUUCUUUUUUUUUUCUUUUUAGCAUCCGUGUAGCUUUUUUCUUAGGUGGAAGCCAUAUAAACUUAAGUUUUUUGUUCUAUUUAAAAAAAAAUAAGAAUCUAUAUUUUUACUGAUUUUUUCCACGCAGCUGGUAAAGUGAAUUAAUAAUGUGGAACCAGAGCAUAUCCUUAACCAUACGUAGGAGAUUCUAAAAGUGUAUCCAUAUAAUUUGGAGAGUCAAAAUACUCAAAACUAAUAGAGCUAUGAUUAAACAAUAUUCCUAUUCCGGACAUGAAAAAAAAAAAAGAAAGAUGAGUUAAUUCUACAUGUGGCAGCCUGGACUUAACCAUCUGCCUCUCCUGCUAUGUCAUUAACAUUUGAGUUAGAAGGCCUCUUUUUCAACCCUCUGUUUUGCAUGAUUCUUAGUCUUUGACGACUCAAUCGUAACCUUCUGUUCCACAUGAAUAUUAUGUAGCGAGAUUAUAAGUUGUGUGUCAUAGUCCGAGGUCAUUUUAGCUGACAUGGAAGCGGAUAUCACAGGUAUAUCUACUUUUUGUGCAUCUGAUAAAUUAGAAGCUCCAAACAAACGAACAGAAUAAGUAUCAAUGAAACUAAUCCCCCACUACCUUUUGCAGUUCCUUGAUGACAGAGAUACAAUCCCCCACUGACCAUGCAACUUUCAUAAUAGUCUGAUAUUCAGAGAAGUCUGAUAAUCUUUUUAUCAAAAAGAUCAGUGUGAUGUCAUUUUAUUUGAUAUGUAAAUGCAGAACCAUUUGUAAAUAAUAACUGAUGUCUUUUGGAUGAAUACAAGAAUAGAAGUAUAUUAUUAUCAA